UACGUAGGGGGCAAGCGUUGUCCGGAUUCAUUGGGCGUAAAGAGCUCGUAGGCGGUUCGGCAAGUCGGGUGUGAAACCUCCAGGCUCAACCUGGAGACGCCACCCGAUACUGCUGUGACUUGAGUCCGGUAGGGGACCACGGAAUUCCUGGUGUAGCGGUGAAAUGCGCAGAUAUCAGGAGGAACACCGAUGGCGAAGGCAGCUCGCUGGGACGGUACUGACGCUGAGGCGCGAAAGCGUGGGGAGCAAACAGG
rnacentral:rRNA from 1 species